UUGCGGGCGUGGGCGUGGGCGGCUUCCACGGUCCCGCGCGACGCCGGGCUUCCGGACGCCGCCCCCCCAGGCGUGCGGACCGCCUUGCUGCUUCGUGCUGCGGGCCCCGUGGCUGCUCCCGCGCCGCCCCGGCUGAGGAAGACGCCCAUGGCGGCUCCCGGGCCGCCCCCGCCGCUGUGGGGCCACGCCGGACACCGCCAGCGCGUGUGCGUGUCCGUGUGUGUCGUCCGCGGGGGAAAACGCGCUUUUUUCCCAAUGUCUCGGACGCUGGCUAUGUGAAGAACAGAGUGGAGGGCCACAAGGCCGCCUGCCGGUAACUCAUGUUCCUGGAGACAUGGAUUCCCAGAAGGACUUCCUCUAAAUAGCAAACAUGAUUUUGGGCUCCGUUUCACAAGUACCAGCAGAAAUGUGGCUUCAUAUGGAGUGUGGACCUCAGCUGUGGAGACGGUGAUUCGACAUCGUAAAUAAACAGGAAGCUUUUCAUUCCGAGAACUUGUAUGUAUGUGGGAAAGUGGUGAAAGGAUUGCGAGUGGAUUUGAAUGGUGUUGAACUUGACUUAGCUCCCCGUAGCACAGGUUGUGUAUGUGCGCGCAUCUACGUGUAUGUGUGCGUGCCAAGGAGGGCCUGGGGAGAACAUUCCCAGCGUGCACCUCGCGUCACGAAGGUAAGCAGAGUCUUUGAGAAGACACCAGGCUCUCAGGACGAUAGCAGCCUGAGAGUGACUGUCUCUUCGAGGCAUUCAUGAAAUGAGGAGCCAUACACAUUCUGAUAAUAUUACUUUGCAAGGCUCAGACGAGAUAUGCUCCUAGAAACAACAUUAAGAAUACUUGGUGGGGCCCGUGUUGUGGCACAGUCUGUGGUGACUGCAUCCCACGUGGGCACUGGUUCUGCUCCCAUCUGCUUGUGAUCUAGCUCCCUACCACAGCACCUCAGAAAGCAGCAGCAGAUGGCCCAGGUACUUCCCAAGCACCUGGGAGACCUGGAUGGAGCUCCUGGAUCCCGGCUUCUGCCUGGCCCAGCCCUGGCUGUUGCAGGCAUUUGGGGAAUGAAGCAGUGGAUGGAAGAUCUCUUUCUAUGUCUCUCACUUUCUCUGCCACUCUGCCUUUCACAUAAAUAAAAUAAAUCUUUAUAAAAAAUUAAAAAUAGGCCGGCGCCACGGCUCAACAGGCUAAUCGUCCGCCUUGCGGCGCCGGCACACUGGGUUCUAGUCCCGGUCAGGGCCCCGGAUUCUGUCCCGGUUGCCCCUCUUCCAGGCCAGCUCUCUGCUGUGGCCCGGGAGUGCAGUGGAGGGUGGGCCGAGUCCUUGGGCCCUGCACCCACAGGGGAGACCAGGAUAAGUACCUGGCUCCCUGCCAUCGGAUCAGCGCGGUGCUCUGGCUGCGGUGGCCAUUGGAGGGUGAACCAACGGCAAAGGAAG